ensembl:lncRNA
GGAAGUAGAGUGCAAUUCUAGUCAAGAUUGAAGAAGGUUGAGGAGGCUGCAUGGGGAAUAUUGAUGUGGGUGAGAAGUAUCUUCAGGCUGCAAAGGCAGUUUACAAAUAGUUACCCUAAAAGUCCAAGUUUCCACAGCUUUAGACAGCACGCUUCCCCAAGUCUUAGAGAUAUUUUGUCUGUAAUUAGUAGGGUUUCCUUUAGACCACAGGCGAGUUCCAGCUAAUUAAAAAACUAUUUGUAAAUGUUUCCCCAAAAGAUAGCCAUUGAGAUGGACAGUUGAGACUAGGAAGAAAUGGCACCUAAAGGUAUGAAGAUGCUGCCCAAAUGAUACAAAAUCAGCAGGCACUAACUUCCCUAUUACGUCUUGCUUAUGUGAUGUAAUGACAAACAGCCCUUCACUUGCCUCCUGCUGCCACUCUCCUUCAUAUUCACUUAAAUAUAGCAUCGGCUCUAAUUGUAUUUAAAGCAGUGUAAAACCUAAUGUGUGGUUGUGACAGAAAAUAGCUAUCUGUUUCCUGAAAUUCAGCAUUUGUUAGUUGCCCAUAGAAAUUAUCUCCCUUUUCUUAUUUUUAGCUCAUAGUUAUUUUUACUUUUAUUUGCUGAAUUUGAUACUAGAUAUCAGCCUUUGAUCUUUGUGAUAAUUUAACAGUAUUGUGGUGACUGUAGUGCCUGAAGGAAGACCUAUAAAUAGAUGUAAACUUAGAAACAGUGGUUUGACUAACACUGGCCACUUCAUUUGUUGUUCUAACAAAAUUAACAAAGAGAAAGGAAGACUUUUAUGCACAGUAUAGCUGUGGAAGAAGCAGGAAAAUGUACCUAAAUGGAGUCUUAGGACUGCCAGAGAAUCUUGUUCCCUCCCAGCAUUAUAUUGAGUUUCAGGUUUCCUUUAGGUUUCAUCCAGCAGUAAAGGUCAUCAAUAACCUGUUCCACCUGACAGAAAUUGCCACUGCACUGUCAAACCUGAGUUCUGAUCUGAGUCAUCUGAAAUACAUGCCACAACAAGCGAUGGCAGUCAUCUGCACUGUCCCCAGAUUGUCAACAAAGCUCAUUUUAUGGCCCUCUUGCACCUUUGUAUUGACUGAAAUGAGACAAAGCUCUGAACUAUAAAACAUAGAUGAGGAAAAUGUUUCAGAAAACAGGCACAAAUAAAAUAGUAUUUUGGAAUGACUGGGAAGUUUUGGAGAAAACAGGGCAUCUGAUUGCUCUGAUAUGAACUCCAAAUAAUAAUUUCAGACAGUAUGAUAGCAAUAUAAUCAAAUAUUUCCAUAUCAGAAAUGAAGUGCUUUGCAUCAAGAUCCCACGUUUUGAAAAAUCAGCACCGGAUGCUGUGAAUGGUAAAACUUCUCUGUGAGCUUAAAUACAAAGCCAAAGAAUCAGAAAUCAAAUUGACACAGCACCUGAAUGGACAUUUCUCCAGCAGAAGGAUUCAAUAGAGACACAUUUUAACAUUUAAAUGAAUAUAAUUUAUAGGACAACUGUCAGGUUUAGCCUUCUGCAUAUUUAAUGAUAGUUAUAAGGAUAGAAUUGAUAGAUUGGAUUAAUGUACAACAACCCUCCCCCACCUCCCCCAAAUUACUUUUCAGUUCAUUAAAAUUACCAUAAACUUAGAUACAAAUGUGAGACAACAGAACAUUUUGUUUCCCCUUCUGUAAUCCACUUGACCUAAAAUUUCUUAAUGCAUGGCAAGAAAAGUCAUUGAAUUAUUUUUAUUAUGUAUUUAUUUAGGGCCGACUUGCCAUACACUGCAUAUACGUGCAACAGAGGAUAAUCCAGCUAUCUAAUCAAGUCAGACAGCAAACGAAAACAAAAAUGAAACAAUAGGCCCAUGGUCAUGCAAUAAAGUAACAGCUCUGACCAGAGCUCUGCUCUUUCCACCAAUGAGACUCAGUAGAUCAGGUGGACAGCCAGCCAGCCACAUCUGUGGCAUAGCAAGGGAAAGAAGGAUCCUGCAGUCUCUUCAGCCCCAUGCAAAGUCAAAAAGAAUUCUGAGCAACAAGUAUCUCUUAAUAACAACAAUUUCAGGAUCAAUUGCUUUUAGUACAGGAAAUGUUAUUAGUAUCUAAAGCUUAAUCUGCAUCUAAGAAUUGCAGAUAUCCUGGUAAUCUAAAUGAUGUCUCUUAGGUAAACAGUUUUGUGUCCUGUUCAUUCUACAAAUGUUAUCAAUAUUGUCAUGUCUACAGUCUGGUUGAAUUAGUAAUAAGUAUAAAAAUUGAGAUCAAUUAGAUGUACAAUGAAGGUGUACAAUGCCUCUGAGCAAGACAAAUGUGGAUUUUUCUAUUAAAAAUAUGUUCAUUACAAAUCCAUAGUUAAACCAAGACCCUUUUUUGUUGCACUUAAGGUUUAAAUCUCACUUAUUAAAAAUGGCGUUGAAGUAGCAAAAAGACAAAGUGUGGAGUAUAAACUGUCUACAUGAAUUAUUCAUGGCAAUGUGGAAAAAUUAAUUGAUACAGAAGGAGCACUAAAUGUCCAAGGAGUAUUCCUUUUGAUAAUUUUUUUUUUGCCUACUUUGUAAAAAGAGGGAAAAAAUAAAUAAAUUACUUUGAAUUCUCUCCUGCAGUAACACAUUUUCUCUUUGUUGUAUAUUUCUCUACUCAGCCAGAGAUCUCUACUGAACCCAGAGAUAUCAGUGACAAAUCUGCCCUGGCUUAUCCAUUAAUACAAAGAAAAGCAAAACAAAACAAGAAGACUUUCCUAAUACCCUAGAAACUUGAAGGCAUUAUUUCCUACAGUAAGAGGAAAAAUACCAGCUUUCACUACUUCUAGCUGCUAUCUAAAAUUCCCAGAGUUCAAAACCAUGUUUGAGAAAAAGAAGUUCCUUGCCUUGCACUCUGUGAAGAUAACUUUAUUUGGACUUACUGAGCUGGGGAAUUAGUUACUGUGCUUUUAGAUCACAUCUACUGCGUCCCUCAUCCUACUUGAUUUUAUCUGCUUAGUACUGUAGUUAUUGAUACACAGAAGAUUGCAGUGAAAUAAACACAGCAUUUUCAGUUUUAUAUUUUAAC